rnacentral:miRNA from 1 species
CUUCCAGUCAGUGAGGUAGCUUUACCUCACUGACUGGAGGGAAUUCCUUCUUGUCAGUGAGGUGAAAAAACCCUCAUCAACCAGAAGGAUUUCCAAGUUCCAGUCAUUGAGGUGCAAAGACCUCACUGACUGGGAG